UGAUCAAGCAGUUGUUUUGCCGCAAGUGCGCGCUUGGACAUACAACUUCUACAAUGCAGAACUGUUCCAUUGGUACCAACACAGCUAAACAGCAUGUUAAAAACAAUAGCAUUCUUACCCAUCCCUUUGCAAGCUUUUUGUAGUUUCUUGGCAUCCCGUUCUGCAUCGAAAUCAUGAUGGCGCCGAAUGGUUGGCUAGAAAAACAGAGGCAACAGGUAUCAAAGUCCAUGAUAGAAGCUGGCUCCUACAUCUUGAAGAGAAAAGAUCCCGUAGGAAGCAAGCAGCUCCCAAGCAAGAUACAUAUAUUUGCAAUAACUGCCAAAGAUCAUGCAAAUCUUGGAUUGGACUAUUCAGUCACAUGAGACAUUGCAAACCAUCUACAUCAUAGGCUGCAGUUCCCACCGUCUCUCGUAGAUGAAAGGAUACCAACAACUGUUUGAAAACCUUGACCAACGAUAUUAAAUAACUAAA